CCCUGUCUGCCCACGGAACACGAGGCGCGGGCUCCCCGCGUGGCCCUUUCUCGCGGCCCUCCCCCGCGGUGGGCGGGGCUGGCAGGUGUGCCUCGUAAGGGUCCGCCCAGUCCCCCGCGUGACCCGCCGGCUCCGAGGCCUCCGUUUCGCCGUUUUCACUACAGCGUUUCGAUGUCACAGGAUCUGGCGGGGCCGCUGGUGGUUAGAGCCGCCUGAGGUCCCCCCCGGGAGCACCGUGUGGCCCCUCGUGGAGGACACCCGUGAUGGGACCAGGGCCUACCCUCCUCCUCCCGCAUAAUCUCAUCUUAACCUGAUCACCUCUGCAAAGACCCUGUUUCCAGACACAGUCACAUUCACAGGGAGAUGGGCCGGCCACGGCUCCUGUCCCCGGGGAUGAUGACAGGAGCCAGGAGAGCCAGGGUUCAGGCUGGUGACAGCCAGGGGUGACAGGCUUCGGCUCUACCGAAGCUUCGGUACUGACCGCGUGACUCCGGGUUGUCCCUGCCAGCUGCCCAUGAGCACCCUUAAGACAGAUGCCCGUCCUGGGUGCCUGGGCGGCUCCGUCGAUUAAGCGUCCGACUUCAGCUUGGGUCAUGACCUCACGGUUUGUGAGUUUGAGCCCCGUGUCGGACUCUGUGCUGAAAGCUGGGAGCCUGGAGCCUGCUUCAGAUUCUGUGUCUCCCCGUCUCUCGGCCCCUCCCCUGCUCAUGCUCUGUCUCUCAGUAAUAAAUAAAUGUUAAAAAAAAAAAAAAAGAUGCCUGUCCACUGAUGGGGUCCAUCCACACGACGGAGUAGCACCUGGCCUGCAGCUGUGACAUGCUGUGUCGCCGAUAAACCUGGAAACAUGAGUGAAGGAAGCCGGGCACAAAGGUCCCCAGCUGCUUGAUCUCACUUUCCUGAAACGUCCAGAGCAGGCAAACC